rnacentral:rRNA from 1 species
GACGAACGCUGGCGGCGUGCUUAACACAUGCAAGUCGAACGGACAGGCCCUGCGUUUGUUGGGCGCUCGAUUGGCGAACGCGGGAGUAACACGUGAGUAACCUGCCCUUAACUUUGUGGUAUCUUUAGGAAACUGGGGCUAUUACCGGAUAGGAUCUCCUGCUGCAUGUGGGUGGUUGGUAAAUUUCGGCGUUUGUGGAUGGACUCGCUGGUUAUCCGCUUGUUUGUGGGGUAGUGGCUUACCAAGGCUGUGACGGGUAGCCGGCCUGAGAGGGUGACCGGCCACAUUGGGACUGAGAUACGGCGCAGACUCCUACGGGAGGCAGCAGUGGGGAAUAUUGCGCAGUGGGCGGAAGCCAGAUGCAGCAACGCCGCGUGCGGGAUGACGGCCUUCGGGUUGUAAACCGAUUUGGAAUGUGACGAAGAGGGAGUGACGGUAAUGGGUAAAGAAGCAACGGCUAACUACGUG